GAUCAGCUACCAAAUGAAGAUCUAGUGGCAUGAUUUGUACAUAAAUCAACUUACUUGGACGCAUUGUCAUCCAAUUUCAAAAUUAGAUUUUACAUAAACGUUGUAUUAUUGGUGGGUUAUCGUCUAUGUUAUUUGAGUUACAAAGGCCUAUUUUAGCAUACGAAGGAACCAGUUGCAAACAAAUUGGGAUUGCGAGGACAUAAGUUGAAAAUGAUAAAAACUAAGGGCCCCAAAAUUAUAAUUCCCCAAAAAAAAAAAAAAAAAAAAAAAAAG
rnacentral:lncRNA from 1 species